UUUUUUUUUUUUUUUUUUUUUUUUUUUUUUUUUUUUUGAAACUUCUC
rnacentral:ribozyme from 11 species